ACAGUGAGAAUCUAACGAACCCACAGCCAAGGGAACGGGCUUGGCAAAAUCAGCGGGAAAGAAGACCCUGUUGAGCUUUGAAGAAGAGUGACUUUGUGACAUGGCAAUUGGGAUAUAGUGUAGGUGGGAGAUCCGUCAACAAUGUAACACCACUACUCAGUUCGUCAUUUUACUAAUUCCGUGAAGCAGAGAUCCUUCGGGAAUUCUGGUACUAAGGUUCGCAAGAACUGAUCUGGGCGGAAGACAGAGUCAUCCGAUUUUCUUGUCUGGGGCGGAACAUCUGUUAAACGAUAACGCAGGUGUCCUAAGGCGAGCUCAAAGAGAACAGAAAUCUCUUGUAGACCAAAAAGGGGAAAAAGCUCGCUUGAUUUUUGAUUUUUCAGUACAAAUACAAACUGUGAAAGC
rnacentral:rRNA from 1 species